UCACUCCCUAGAGAAUCCUGGGAAGCCAUUUUCGAAGCAAUCAAGAGGAUGAUGAGAUCUGUUGCGAUUACGUGCAGGAGAUUUCUCCAUCGACAUAAUUUGAUGAAAGGUAAUCCUCCUCUUUGCGGUUUCCGUUGCUGGAGACGAUCUUUUUCUGGUCACAGUUAUGAUAUGAAGUUAGAUGAUGCAGUUGAUUUGUUCGGUGACAUGGUCAAGUCUCGUCCUUUACCUUCCAUUGUUGAGUUCAGUAAAUUGUUGAGUGCCAUUGCUAAGAUGAACAAGUUUAAUGUCGUAAUCUCUCUGGCCGAACAGAUGCAAAUGUUAGGAAUUGCACAUAAUCUUUACACAUACAAUAUUUUGAUUAACUGUUUUUGCCGACGCUCUCAAAUCUCUCUUGCUUUAGCUGUUCUUGGGAAGAUGAUGAAACUAGGCUAUGAGCCCAGCAUUGUUACGCUUUCUUCGCUGCUCAAUGGUUUCUGUCACGGUAAGAGGAUAUCCGAGGCUGUAGCUUUGGUUGAUCAAAUGGUCGUACUGGGGUAUCAACCUAAUACCGUCACAUUUACAACUUUGAUUCAUGGUCUUUUACUCCACAAUAAAGUUUCAGAAGCGGUGGCUUUAGUUGGUCAAAUGGUUGUAAAAGGUUGUCAACCAAGCUUAGUUACUUAUGCUGUGGUUGUAAAUGGAUUAUGUAAGAGAGGUGAUAUUGACUUGGCUUUUAAUCUGCUCAAGAAGAUUGAAGCUGGGAAAUUAAAGGCAAAUGUUGUAAUCUACAACACAAUUAUCGAUGGUCUCUGCAAAUACAGACAUGUCGAUGAUGCUGUUGACCUAUUCAAUGAAUUGGAGAACAAAGGCAUUAGACCAAACGUUGUUACCUACAACUCCCUUAUUAGUUGUCUUUGUAAUUACGGAAGAUGGAGUGAUGCCUCUCGACUACGUAGUGAUAUGAUUGAGAGGAAAGUCAACCCAAAUGUAGUAACUUUCAACGCACUGAUCGAUGCGUUUGUGAAGAAGGGGAAGCUUAUAGAGGCUGAGAAAUUGUACGAGGAGAUGAUCGGAAGGUCUAUAGAUCCUGAUAUUUUCACUCACAAUUCACUGAUUAACGGACUUUCCAUGCAUGAUCGCUUAGAGGAGGCCAAGCAGAUGUUUGAGUUGAUGAUUCGGAAGGACUGUUUCCCAAACGUAGUAACUUUUAAUACACUUAUAAAUGGUUUUUGUAAGGCUAACAGAGUAGACGAAGGUCUAAAACUCUUCCGGGAGAUGUCUCAAAGAGGAUUGGUUGGAGACAUAGUCACUUACAACACUCUUAUCCAAGGGUUAUUUCAAGCUGGAGAUUGUGAUAUGGCUCAAGAAACUUUUAGUCAAAUGGAAUCUUUUGGUGUCUCUCCUGAUCUUUGGGCUUAUAACAUUUUGUUAGAUGGGCUCUGUAAUAACGGGAGGCUAGAGAAAGCAUUGGUGGUAUUCGAGUAUUUGCAGAAGAGUGAAAUGGAACUUGAUAUAUUCACAUAUAAUAUUAUGAUUGAAGGGAUGUGCAAGGAUGGGAAGGUGGAAGAUGAUUGGGGUCUAUUUUGUAGCCUCAGCCUUAAAGGAGUGAAGCCUGAUGUUAUAACCUACAACACAGUGAUCUCAGGCUUGUGUAGGAACGGUUUAAACCAGGAAGCUUAUGCCUUGCUAAAAAAAAUGAAACAAGAUGGGCCUCCUCCAGAUAGCGGUACAUAUAAUACACUGAUCAGGGCAUGUCUUAGAGAUGGUGACAAAGCCGCAUCAGCUGAACUCAUUAAAGAAAUGAAGAGUUGCGAGUUUGCUGGAGAAGCUUCAUCCAUUGGCUUGGCCACUGAUAUGUUACAUGAUGGGAAAUUGGACAAAAGCUUUUUGUAAAUGUGGAUCUUAAAAUAGUUUGAGAUUGUAAAGGAUUUCUCCGAAUGAGAGAACAUGGGGUGCUUUGCUUCGAGGGGAAUGAAUGGUUAACUCAUGAACUGAGUGAACCGAAGGGCAAGCAUGAACAAUUUAUUGCCCACUAGAACUCGCAGGGAAGGCAAGGUCAGAGUAGAGACAGAAUUGACCACUGCUUUAGAAGAUUUACUCUUGUCAAUGCUCACGACCAAACUUAUGUACGUACCACAACAAUUUCUUUAUAUGUAAAUACAAAAUGUGAAAGAUGAGACUCUGUUUGUAAGCACUUAACACUUGUGUGAUGCAAUCAAACUUACUCGUCAAGGGAUCAUCAUCACAGACUCACAGUGGUGGUAUCUUGGAACUUACACUUAAAUCGUUUGUUUUGAUUGUUUAUUCAGUGGAAUGGGAUCUAUCUUUUAA